AACGCACCUUGCGCUCCUUGGUAUUCCGAGGAGCAUGCCUGUUUGAGUGUCCUGAACGUCUCUCGAACCUCAAGGGGGGGGUUUCCCCCCUCCUCUCCGGGAUCGGAUUUGGAUGUUGCCGUCUCUCUCUUCGAGAUGGCUCAUCUUGAAAUGCAUUAGCCGCCUCCCUCCCCUUUUUGGUUUCACAGACAACGGUGUGAUAAAGUGAAAAAAGUCGCCUGUGUCGGUGGGAACGGAAUCGGGUGCGGGGUUUUGAAGGCUCACAGUCGUCUUUGGACAGAUACAACUCAUGUGACCUCAAAUCAGGUAGGACUACCCGCUGAACUUAA
rnacentral:misc_RNA from 1 species